UGCUUAACACAUGCAAGUCGCACGGUUUGGGGGCAACUCCAGGCAGUGGCGGACGGGUGAGUAACGCGUAGGCAUCUAUCCAAUGGUGGGGGACAACCGCGGGAAACUGCGGCUAAUACCGCAUGAUGACUUUGGCUGAGAAGUUAAGGUCCAAAGCUUGCAAGAGCGCCGAUGGAGGAGCCUGCGUCCGAUUAGCUUGUUGGUGGGGUAACGGCCUACCAAGGCGACGAUCGGUAGCUGGUCUGAGAGGAUGAUCAGCCACAUUGGGACUGAGACACGGCCCAAACUCCUACGGGAGGCAGCAGUGGGGAAUAUUGGACAAUGGGCGCAAGCCUGAUCCAGCAAUGCCGCGUGUGUGAAGAAGGUCUUCGGAUUGUAAAGCACUUUCGACGGGGACGAUGAUGACGGUACCCGUAGAAGAAGCCCCGGCUAACUUCGUGCCAGCAGCCGCGGUAAUACGAAGGGGGCUAGCGUUGCUCGGAAUGACUGGGCGUAAAGGGCGCGUAGGCGGCGAACAUAGUCAGGCGUGAAAUUCCUGGGCUCAACCUGGGGACUGCGCUUGAUACGUGUUUGCUUG
rnacentral:rRNA from 1 species